UACGUAGGGUGCGAGCGUUAAUCGGAAUUACUGGGCGUAAAGCGUGCGCAGGCGGCGCGUUAAGACAGGUGUGAAAGCCCCGAGCUUAACUUGGGAAUUGCGCUUGUGACUGGCGUGCUGGAGUGUGGCAGAGGGAGGUGGAAUUCCACGUGUAGCAGUGAAAUGCGUAGAGAUGUGGAGGAACACCGAUGGCGAAGGCAGGUCUCUGGGCUGACACUGACGCUCAUGCACGAAAGCGUGGGGAGCAAACAGG
rnacentral:rRNA from 1 species